CAGGCGGAUUGGUAAGUCAGGGGUGAAAUCCCACAGCUCAACUGUGGAACUGCCUUUGAUACUGUCAGUCUAGAGUAUAGUUGAAGUUGGCGGAAUGUGUCAUGUAGCGGUGAAAUGCUUAGAUAUGACACAGAACACCGAUCGCGAAGGCAGCUAGCUAAGCUAUAACUGACGCUCAUGCACGAAAGCGUGGGGAUCAAACAGGAUUAGAUACCCUGGUAGUCCACGCUGUAAACGAUGAUUACUCGAUGUUGGCGAUACACAGUCAGCGUCUGAGCGAAAGCAAUAAGUAAUCCACCUGGGGAGUACGAUCGCAAGAUUGAAACUCAAAGGAAUUGACGGGGGCCCGCACAAGCGGAGGAGCAUGUGGUUUAAUUCGAUGAUACGCGAGGAACCUUACCUGGGCUCGAACGUAAGAUGACUGUAGGUGAAAGCUUACAUCUCUUCGGAGCAUUUUACGAGGUGCUGCAUGGUUGUCGUCAGCUCGUGCCGUGAGGUGUCGGGUUAAGUCCCAUAACGAGCGCAACCCCUACCUUUAGUUGCUAUCAGGUCAUGCUGGGGACUCUAAAGGAACUGCCUACGCAAGUAGUGAGGAAGGCGGGGAUGACGUCAAAUCAGCACGGCCCUUACGUCCAGGGCUACACACGUGCUACAAUGGCCGAUACAGAGGGCAGCUACCUGGUGACAGGAUGCAAAUCUCCAAAGUCGGUCUCAGUUCGGGUCGGAGUCUGCAACCCGACUCCGUGAAGUUGGAUUCGCUAGUAAUCGCGCAUCAGCCAUGGCGCGGUGAAUACGUUCCCGGGCCUUGUACACACCGCCCGUCAAGCCAUGGAAGCUGGGGGGACCUAAAGUCGAUAACCGCAAGGAGUCGCCUAGGGUAAAACCAGUGACUGGGGCUAAGUCGUAACAAGGUAGCCG
rnacentral:rRNA from 1 species